rnacentral:rRNA from 1 species
UACGAGGGGGGCGAGCGUUGUUCGGAAUUAUUGGGCGUAAAGAGCUCGUAGGCGGUUUGUCGCGUCUGCCGUGAAAGUCCGGGGCUCAACUCCGGAUCUGCGGUGGGUACGGGCAGACUAGAGUGCAGUAGGGGAGACUGGAAUUCCUGGUGUAGCGGUGAAAUGCGCAGAUAUCAGGAGGAACACCGAUGGCGAAGGCAGGUCUCUGGGCUGUAACUGACGCUGAGGAGCGAAAGCAUGGGGAGCGAACAGG